GUAGGCGCCGGCUCGGCUGGCUGCGUGCUCGCCAACCGGCUCACGGCGGACGGCUCGUCGCGCGUGCUCCUGCUCGAGGCCGGUGGUCUCGAGGAGGAGGCUAGCCAGGUGCCCUUCUUCUCGCCCCUGCUGCAGCGCACCGUCGUCGACUGGGACUACCCGAGCGAACCACAGAUCGACGCCAGUUAUGGCUACGACGACAACGUAAACCGAUAUCCGCGAGGAAAAGUUCUGGGAGGCUCAAGCUCUAUCAACCAUCUGAUUAGCGCCCGAGGAAACAAGCGAGAUUAUGACGCCUGGAAGUCAGAAUAUGGUGCUGUGGGGUGGUCCUACGAUGACGUUCUGCCAUUUUUCAAAAAUAUUGAGUCUUCAGAUUUAGGCUACGACGAUGGGUACCACGGUUUCAGCGGCGAGGUUCCCGUGUCCUUUCCCACCUAUCACACGGUAGCCAGCGACGUCUUCCUGCAGGCUGGCGAAGAAAUCGGAUACAAGCAGGGUGACUACAAUGGCGAAAACCAGAAUUGUAGGUGGCGCCUCGGUAUAUAGGCAAGAAAUACACGUAGA